UACGUAGGCCUCAAGCGUUAUCCGGAUUUACUGGGCGUAAAGCGUGCGUAGGCGUCCCGCUAAGUCUCUAGUGAAAGCCCCGGGCUCAACCUGGGAAUGGCAGUGGAAACUAGGGGACUGGAAUCUGGCAGAGGGGGGUGGAAUGCCGCGUGUAGCAGUGAAAUGCGUAGAGAUGCGGCGGAACACCGAUGGCGAAGGCAGCCCCCUGGGCUGAGAUUGACGCUCAGGCACGAAAGCGUGGGGAGCAAACAGG
rnacentral:rRNA from 1 species